UUCUCGCUCGCCCCCGUCGUCCACGGUUGGGUUGGGCUUUUGGGCCGGAUCGCACCACGCCCUCGCAGACCAACAACAAGACCGACUUCGUCCUCUACUCCCUUCCCCCAACCGCAAAAGCACUACCUCUCCGGCGCUCGCCGCUGCCACCCGUCACCGUGCGCCUCGGCCGCCGCCUCCUCACUGUUGUUCGCGCGCAAACAGCGCGCGCCCUGCUAUCGUGUCAUUCCGUCCACAGCCAUCCGGUUCCGCUCCAGGCGGUGGGGAUCUCGCUGUACUCGCCGCCGCUCACGGGUACCGAGGGUUCGAUCGGUUGUGGAGACUCUGAAGGAGAGGAGGCGGAGCGCAAAGAUGUCGGAUUUCCGGACCUCCACGCAACGAGAGAGGUGGAUCUUCCAGCCGCACGAUCUGAUGGAGAGGUGGGCGGCGGCUAACCAGCGGGCCGCGGAGACCCUCGCGCAGUAUGGGACGACGCGGAUGAAGGUGGACCAGUUGGAUGGGUCGGUCGAUUCGCCGGAUCGUGUUGAGGGUAGCUCAGAUGUAAAGCCUCUGUCUUACGAAGAGGAGCAAUUGACACGAGUAUUUUACGAGCAGAAGAUUCAAGAAGUAUGUGUAGCAUUCAAAUUCCCUCACAAAAUCCAGGCUACAGCUAUAAUAUAUUUCAAGAGAUUCUAUCUACAGUGGUCUGUUAUGGAGCAUCACCCAAAGCAUAUUAUGUUAACAUGUGUAUACGCUUCUUGCAAAGUGGAAGAAAACCAUGUUUCUGCUGAGGAGCUUGGUAAAGGAAUUCAGCAGGACCACCAGAUCAUUCUAAAUAAUGAGAUGGUCCUUCUUAAGACUUUAGAUUUUGAUCUCAUUGUUUAUGCGCCAUAUCGAUCUAUUGAAGGAUUUAUUGAUGACCUGGAGGGUUUCUGCAGGGUAGGUAAUGGUGCAGUACAGCAUUUGAAGGAGUUGCAUCAAACCGCGAUGUCCCAUGCUGACAAAAUGAUGUUGACCGAUGCUCCUCUUCUCUAUACUCCAGGGCAGUUGGCACUGGCUGCUUUGCACAAGUCCAAUGAUAUUCUCAGGGUCUUCGAUUUUGAAAGAUACUUGGAAACUAUCUUCUCAAGGCAACAUUCUGAUUGUACAGUCGAACAGUUUGUUCAAUCAAUCAAUGCAAUCCAUUACUUGGUUGACCAGCUUAAAAUACCUACUGUUAAGGAUAUGAGGCAUAAGAAGAAAGAGAAGAAGUCAAAACACAAAUCGAAAAGAACAUCUACUGAUGCACAGCUCAACGGCUAGAAAGCAUAUGGUCGAGAAGUGGCCUUGUGUAAAAAUCAAUUCUAAAAAUGUGGUGGCAAUGACCCGCAUCUUUCGACACCAGCUGUGACAGUUGUACCUGAGGAGAAGCAAUUUUGUGAUGAGGCGAUAUGCAUAACUUAUUCCUUGCUGUAAAGGGAGAGUUGCAGCAAAGAUACAAACCAAGAGGUGUAGCAUUGGACAUUCUAUUGCCAUGAAUGGAGAACUGAAAAUGGUAUGCAGCCAUUAUAACUUGAUUUUCUUCUUGUGGCUGUAGCAAUUGUUGAGUCUGAACACUGAAAUCCAAGAUAAUCUGCCUGUGGUUGUGAAUCAUCUUGAACUAACGUGUGAUUUUGAAUCUGAAUUGAAUUUAUGCCAACAGCUUAUCAUGUCA